GUGCUCACUUUGGCAGCACAUAUACUAAAAUUGGAACAAUACAGAGACGAUUAGCAUGGCCCCUGCGCAAGGAUGACAUGCAAAUUUGUUAAGCAUUCCAUACUUUU
rnacentral:snRNA from 1 species